GAGUUUGAUCCUGGCUCAGAACGAACGCUGGCGGCGUGCUUAACACAUGCAAGUCGAACGUGAUCCGGAGCUUGCUCUGGUGAAAGUGGCGCACGGGUGAGUAACGCGUGGAUAACCUGCCCUGGUAUCCGGGAUAACACCUCGAAAGGGGUGCUAAUACCGGAUAAGCCCACGGGCUCUUCGGAGCUUGCGGGAAAAGGUGGCCUCUGAAUAUGCUACUGUAUCAGGAUGGGUCCGCGUACCAUUAGCUAGUUGGUGGUGUAAUGGACCACCAAGGCGACGAUGGUUAGCUGGUCUGAGAGGAUGAUCAGCCACACUGGAACUGAGACACGGUCCAGACUCCUACGGGAGGCAGCAGUGGGGAAUUUUGCGCAAUGGGGGAAACCCUGACGCAGCAACGCCGCGUGAGUGAUGAAGGCCUUUGGGUCGUAAAGCUCUGUCAGAGGGGAAGAAAUGAUAUAGUGCUAAUACCACUUUAUCUUGACGGUACCCUCAAAGGAAGCACCGGCUAACUCCGUGCCAGCAGCCGCGGUAAUAC
rnacentral:rRNA from 1 species